CACGUAGGGGGGCGAGCGUUUGUCCGGAUUUAUUGGGCGUAAAGAGCUCGUAGGCGGUUUCGUAAGUCGGAUGUGAAAAACUCCAGGCUCAACUUGGAGACGCCAUUCGAUACUGCGAUGACUUUGAGUCCGGUAGGGGGAGUGUGGAAUACCUGGUGUAGCGGUGAAAUGCGCAGAUAUCAGGUGGAACACCGAUGGCGAAGGCAGUGAUCUGGGCCAGUACUGACGCUGAGGAGCGAAAGCGUGGGGGAGCAAACAGG
rnacentral:rRNA from 1 species